UGAAUAUCAUUGAAUGAUAAACCCGUGC
rnacentral:sRNA from 1 species